AUAAAGACUGGGAAAAGGAGUAGUAGUGAUUUUACCAAGUUUUAGAGAGGCGGCGGGUGCUGGAAGUCGUCCUUGGUCAUCACGAACUCGCCUUGGAUGUUGCAGGAGUGAACCUGAGUAGUUUCUGCCGGUGGAAGCACCGUUAUCAGCGAUCGAGAUGAACACGUGUCUGCGUGUUAAUUUGGGUGGUACCGCGGGAAUCAAACCUCUCGUCCCAUAU
rnacentral:ncRNA from 1 species